rnacentral:rRNA from 1 species
GUUCCAGACUCCUACGGGAGGCAGCAGUGGGGAAUAUCGCACAAUGGGGGAAACCCUGAUGCAGCGACGCCGCGUGAGCGAUGAAGUAUUUCGGUCUGUAAAGCUCUAUCAGCAGGGAAGAAAAUGACGGUACCUGACUAAGAAGCCCCGGCUAACUACGUGCCAGCAGCCGCGGUAAUACGUAGGGGGCAAGCGUUAUCCGGAUUUACUGGGUGUAAAGGGAGCGUAGACGGCAAUGCAAGCCAGAUGUGAAAGCCCGGGGCUCAACCCCGGGACUGCAUUUGGAACUGUGUAGCUGGAGUGUCGGAGAGGCAGGCGGAAUUCCUGGUGUAGCGGUGAAAUGCGUAGAUAUCAGGAGGAACACCGGUGGCGAAGGCGGCUUACUGGACCAUAACUGACGUUGAGGCUCGAAAGCGUGGGGAGCGAACAGGAUUAGAUACCCGGGUAA